GACGACGCUGGCGGCGUGCCUAAUACAUGCAAGUAGGACGAGUUGCGAACGGGUGAGUAACGCGUGGUAACCUACCUAUUAGAGGGGGAUAACUAUUGGAAACGAUAGCCAAUACCGCAUACUAGUAGAUGGACCUGCGUUGUAUUAGCUAGUAGGUGGGGUAACGGCUCACCUAGGCGACGAUCCCUAGCUGGUCUGAGGGGAUGACCAGCCACACGGGAACGGAGACACGGUCCAGACGCCAACGGGAGGAAGCAGUGGGGAAUAUUGCACAAGGGGCGAAGGCCUGAUGCGGCCAUGCGGGGGGUAUGAAGAGGGCCUUGGGGUUGUAAAGUACUUUCAGCGAGGAGGCGUUACUCGCAGAGGAAGCACCGGCUAACUCCGUGCCAGCAGCCGCGGUAAUUC
rnacentral:rRNA from 1 species